rnacentral:rRNA from 1 species
CCCUUAGAUGUCCUGGGCCGCACGCGCGCUACAAUGACACAUGCAACAAGUUCUAUCCUGGCUCGGAAGAGUUUCGGGUAAUCUUUAUAAUGUGUGUCGUGCUGGGGAUCGAUCUUUGUAAUUAUGGAUCUUGAACGAGGAAUUCCUAGUAAGCAUAAGUCAUCAGCUUGUGCUGAUUACGUCCCUGCCCUUUGUACACACCGCCCGUCGCACCUACCGAUUGGAUGGUCCGGUGAAGCCUCGGGAUUGUGGUUCUUGCCGCUUUAUUGUGGCGUGACCGCGAGAACUUGUCUAAACCUUAUCAUCUAGAGGAAGGUGAAGUCGUAACA